CUUUCUCCUGUUCCAAUUACUCCCAAAUUUUGUUGGCAGAUCAUUCAAAUUUUGUUGAUACAUUGUAAUAUAUGUAGGUUUAGUGGUUGAUUGAUGCUUUUGUUUUUCUGAUUAUUAGUGUUUAGGGUUGAUUUGUUGCUGUUUUUAUUCCAUUAUGGUGAAUUGCAAAAGCAGACGGAACCAGCAUCUGCUCCCUUGAGUGGUGGUGGUGGUGGUGGUCUUCUUGUUUCGACCAUUAGUUCAGUUGGUCAGCUUCCCAGAUAUUAAUUGCUAUUCCGCGUAGUCGCUGUCGAGAAGGAGAACAAAACAGAGAGAGAUGCGAAGGAGGAUGAUGGAGGCCACCACUGCAGGUCUCAUUUACAGAAAUUAAAAAAGAUGGAUCCUAUAUAUGUUGAGACGGUGCUACUGCUGAUGAGAAAUCUGUCUAUCAAUUUAAGGAGCCCAGAUUUUGAGGAUCAUGUAAGUAUUUGUAUCAUUGAUCUUUAUAUUGGUAUAACUAAAUAUGUGAUGAUGAGCAAAAUAUUUCCUACUUGAGGCUCACCCCACUGUUAUAUUUCGGCAUCUAAGUGCUUGAUCUUUAUAAUGAAUCUAUUUCCUGAGGAUACAUAGCUUGAAGUGGUAUGCUGAUAUUCCUCAUUUAUUUGAAACUGUCUAUGUCGUGCCACAUUGCUACAAAAGUAUCACAUACAUAUUGAAACAAAUUUUGUUUCUUAAACCAGUGUGUUUUGAUUAGUGGUCUUUUCAGGUGUGGUACUUAUUAGAAGUUUCUCCAUGAGAAAGGAGCUGUAUGAGCAUGAUGGAGUUUGUAAUUUGUAGUUUGUAUUUUGGAGAUUUAUAAUUUUUUGUUUUUCUUGUCCUAUGUAUCUAUCUAGUUCAUUAGGGUUCUUCAAUGUAUCUUGUUAGUUUGUACUUUAAAGUUUAUAUGUUGAAGAUUUAUAAAACAAUCUUAGUUAAAUGAAAUAUAU